CCAGCAGAGCUCACCUGAGGCCUCUCUAUGCCCUCACUCAUGAGUCAAGGGCUUUGCCAGUUGAGUCUGAACAGGGGAGCAGUGAGUGAGACCAAUUGGUAAUUGGGCGUGGCGUUCUGAAGGCCAGUGGUCUCCAGUUUUGCAAAAAAUGUGAUUUAGAAUUUCUACAUGAGUGAAAACAAUGGAAUAGUGCUCAGAGUUUAGCAGUCUGGAGUCUUCUGGUUGAUUCAUGAGCUUCAAGUUUUCAGAAUUGUGUGCGUAGUUCCAUUUUUUGU